rnacentral:tRNA from 1 species
UCCCCGAUAGCUCAAUCGGUAGAGCGGCGGACUGUUAAUCCGUAGGUUGUAGGUUCGAGUCCUACUCGGGGAGC